rnacentral:rRNA from 1 species
CUUGGAAGCUCUCGAAAGCGAACUUUUUUCGCUGCGAAGCUCUCGCAAGGACUAGCAAGGGGGGAGCCGAAGUGGAAGAAGGCCAAGGUGUUCCGUUAGGGGGGCUCACGGCAAAGUUAGUGGCGUUGGCGCGUGCUAGUCUUAAGAGCGCGGACUCCGCCUGUGGCACUAGGUCGGAAGGUCGGGAAAGCACAGGCCGCCGGAGAGGUGGGGUCAGGGGUCUAAUACAGCUGCGUCAGGUAGAGCGGGCGGAGGCACAGGCGCGUCAAGGGGAUGGGACGAUGGCGGCGCCGCCGCCGGGGCAGCAUGAAGGGGCACGGGAAGGUGGAGGUCUGAAGCGUCAUGGGGUGGACCGGCUGCCACCGGGGGCGCGUCGGCCGCGGCCGCAUGUUGCGGCAGAUGGGGUACGGGGUUCAGGUCGUCCAUUAUUGAGGGGUAAGCGCACUAAACAAGGUCUCGAGGAGGAACAUUAAACGAGGUACCUGCCUAGGAGGGACAUUAAACAACCGUAUCACUCGAUUCCACCAGCCUCUAGGCCACCACCCUCUCCUAGACCUGCGGCGACACGCCGAAGACUCCGAACCCAGCGGAAAAUCCGUGUUGUUGACAAGGUCUCUCUGAGCGUCUAUUAGUCGGGACUCCGAGAGCGGUGACACUUCCGACGAUAACGUCUAUUACUGUUUCUGUUCUUUCAACUUCGUUUGUUUUUCCGUCAGGGAGCUUUCCGUCGACCCGUUACGACCCUCCUAGGCUGCAAUCGACUGACCGGACUUUCAUUCGAGAGUCAGCAUAAAAUAUCCCGUAAAAUGGUUUACAACGUGAAGAUACUAGAUAUAAUCUUACAUUUUGUACCAUUACGUUAUAAAAACAGUGAACAGAGAGAAUCGUUACUUCGAUUGUUUGUCGGUUUCGUGGAAGGGAGAGGGCCUGUUCUAAUUACAAGAUACACGACAAGAAGAAGAUUCUAUUUAACAACAAAGUAAAAAAACAAUUUCCGUCCGAUUUCUCAACUACGAAAGUGUAACCUAGAUCCACCCGAACGACUACUAUAUCAUUUGUAAAACGUUAAUAGAGAUAGGAAUGUAUUUAACAAGAUAACACGCAAUUUCCGAUUUAACUAGAGAACACCUAUGUAAACGUUAAACGAUAAAUGUACCUGUUAACACCUUUUACACUAUAUUUAUAAAACUUAAUUGGAAAUAUGUAUAAAACUUGUUAAGAGACACUAAUAAACAAUACCAAUAAACUCUUCCGAUUUUUUUGUUUCUCGGUCGAAGGAACGAGAAUAACGUGGGUAGACAAACAUUAGACAUAUUCGAUUGUAUCAAUUUUAUAAAUUUAUAUAGAGUCGAGACCGUCUAACUGGCCGUAAACAAAUACUAAAAAGUUACUCGUAUUUUAGUUCGUACUAUUAAGUGAAAUUAGUACCAACCAUAAACCGUUCUGUUUUUUAAAGACAAGCCUACUUUAAUAUAGUUUAAUAGUCAAAGAAUCUCGCAGAAGUAGGGAUUGUGGGUGUUAGAUCGGUGAUACCAUCUAUCUAGUGGAAAAAUAGAGUCAAUUGCGGAGAUUCGGAGCGACUGGUAUAGAGAAUCCUAGUGGAGAUCACAGUUCCCGAUAUUUAAAAUUAUGACAUAAACUAAACUUCAACUGUAUGAAAUUUGUUUAAUUUCAAUUAAUGGAAUAAUAACCACCAACACUACAAAAGUUUACGUUGAAUCCUAAACAUAAACGACACAGUCACGUCCACAGAGCAGAAGACGAACAUGACCAAUAAUCAUCAACACAGUAAACUAACGAAAGGUAACAUACUCAUAAAGACACGGAAAGUAUAAACGUUAAGAGUGAAGGGAGGGCACCUGUCUACUGAAGGCAAACAAAACACCACUAGAACCUUUACUUCACUUACUACUACAAGACUGGUUCUGAAAAAGUUUUAUAGGUAGGAAGUUGUACCGAUUCCAAUAUGCCCUAUUCAGAUGGCCAUUUUGAUUUCCGAUGCCCAAGCAAUCAAAACGGUUACGUAGCCUAGAACGUCGUCGUGACUUUCUGUACUUGCCAUUUAUACAACCUUUAGCUGGUUAGUUCGAUGCCUUCUCGUGUACCUUCUCAUCUUAUCUGAUGCUUCGAAACGACUUCGGCUUCUGAGCCGGUGUCUUCUUCGAGUUUCACGUUGGUUCUUCACAAAAUGUGUUCACUUCGUUUAUUAAGAGGAACAAGCAGUAGUGUCAUAGGUGUUACUACAAGUUACGCGUAUAAGUUGUCAACUACAUUCGGAAAUCGAAACGUGCACAGUCACGUAAGGUCAAAUACUAACAUUACAUCCACAUUUAUAGGUUUACUGAUCACAGAAACACCUGUAGUUGAUACAUAAAACUACUUACUAACUAACGUUUACGAUACCUAACAAGAAGAGCGAUCUCUUAUUAAACAAACCCUUUGGUAAAAAACGGUGUCGACGAUUGUUUACUG